rnacentral:tRNA from 1 species
GCCGAGGUGGCCUAGCCUAGUUAAGGCGCCGGGCUCGCCUCCCGGACAUCGAGGGUGCGAAUCCCUCCCUCGGCA